GGGAUGAGGAGAGACAAUGUGGCAUGGUGGUUAAGCACGUGGACUUGGAGCCAGACGGCCUGGGGCUGAAUCCUGGCUCCGCCUCUCACCAACUGUGACCUUGGGCAAGGAAGCUGGUUCAGUGGGGCUGUCGACCACAGGUACCAACCCUGCCCUCCCCUACAGAGUAUGUGACGUAGGCACAGCCAAUGACUGCAUCCCAGUGCUUCGACCAGUCACAGGGUCAAGGAAGUUCUGAGGGUACCCCUCACUCAAGCUCCAGGCGUCAGGAAAAGAACAUUCCACGAAGUCCAUCUGGAAGACGGUCCUUUCCCUGCUGCCCCCAGCUUCUAGAACAUUCCCUGGAACACAGCAAGUGUUCAGUAUUGUUCAUGGAGUGACAGAUGUCUCAGCCAAGAAGGCUCAGCUUAGGGACCGUCACCUCCAGGAAGCCUUCCCAACCUGCACUGAUCACUUCUUCUUCUUCUCUUUGGGAUUAUCACUUGUAUUGUAAUAAAAUCUUGUUUUUUUUCUUUAAAAAAUAUUAUUUGCAUUCAGCAAAAUUCACCCUUUUUGAUAUACAGUUCUGAGGUUUUUUUUAGUUCUAUAAGUUUUGUCAAAUAUGUAAAGUUGUAAUCUCCAACACAAUCAAAAUAUAAAACAAUUUCCUCACCCCUCCCCAAUUCCCUUAUGCUCUUUUGUAUCCAACACUUCUUCCCACUCCAGCCCCUGGCAACCACGGAUUUGCUUUCUGUCUGUACAACACUGCCUCUUCCAGAAUGUCAUAUAUAAAAUCACGCUGUUUAUAACCUUUA
ensembl:lncRNA novel transcript